AGUCACUGACAUUAGACUACCCCCGUAGUCCCAGCCGUAAACAAUGUGCGUUAGGUGUGUCGGUAACCACGUGUUACUGAUGCGCCGAAGAGAAAUCGUGAAACGCACCACCUGGGAAGUACGGUCGCAAGGCUGAAACUUAAAGGAAUUGGCGGGGAGCACCACAACAGGUGGAGCCUGCGGUUUAAUUGGAUUCAACGCCGGACAUCUCACCGGAUAAGACAGCUGAAUGAUUGUCAAUCUGAAGGUUUUACAUGACUAGCUG
rnacentral:rRNA from 1 species